rnacentral:rRNA from 1 species
CGCUGGCGGCGUGCUUAACACAUGCAAGUCGAGCGGUAAGGCCCUUCGGGGUACACGAGCGGCGAACGGGUGAGUAACACGUGAGCAACCUGCCCCUGACUCUGGGAUAAGCGGUGGAAACGCCGUCUAAUACCGGAUACGACACACCGUCUCAUGGCGUGUGUGUGGAAAGUUUUUUCGGUCAGGGAUGGGCUCCCGGCCUAUCAACUUGUUGGUGGGGUAAAGGCCUACCAAGGCGAUUACGGGUAGCCGGCCUGAGAGGGCGACCGGCCACACUGGGACUGAGACACGGCCCAGACUCCUACGGGAGGCAACAGUGGGGAAUAUUGCACAAUGGGCGAAAGCCUGAUGCAGCGACGCCGCGUGGGGGAUGACGGCCUUCCGGUUGUAAACCUCUUUUACCAUCAACGCAGGCUCCGGGUUCUCCCGGGGUUGACGGUAAGUGGGGAAUAAGGACCGGCUAACUACCUGCCAACAACCGCGGUAAUACCUAAGGUCCGAACGUUGUCCGGAAUUAUUGGGCGUAAAGAGCUCGUAGGCGGCGUGUCGCGUCUGCUGUGAAAGACCGGGGCUUAACUCCGGUUUGGCAGUGGAUACGGGCACGCUAGAGGUAGGUAGGGGAGACUGGAAUUCCUGGUGUAGCGGUGAAAUGCGCAGAUAUCAGGAGGAACACCGGUGGCGAAGGCGGGUCUCUGGGCCUUACCUGACGCUGAGGAGCGAAAGCAUGGGGAGCGAACAGGAUUAGAUACCCUGGUAGUCCAUGCCGUAAACGUUGGGCGCUAGGUGUGGGGACUUUCCAC